rnacentral:rRNA from 1 species
UACGUAGGGUGCAAGCGUUUAAUCGGAAUUACUGGGCGUAAGCGUGCGCAGGCGGUUUUGUAAGUCUGUCGUGAAAGCCCCGGGCUCAACCUGGGAAUUGCGAUGGAGACUGCAAGGCUUGAAUCUGGCAGAGGGGGGUAGAAUUCCACGUGUAGCAGUGAAAUGCGUAGAGAUGUGGAGGAACACCGAUGGCGAAGGCAGCCCCCUGGGUCAAGAUUGACGCUCGAUGCACGAAAGCGUGGGGAGCAAACAGG